rnacentral:lncRNA from 1 species
CAGUAUUGUAUAGCUUUCAGCAUACAACUCCUGUAUAUGUUUUGUUAAAUUUAUACCCAAGUAUCCCCCUUUUGGGAGCAACUGUAAGUGGUACCGUAUUUUUAAUUUUGGUGUCCAUGUGUUCAUUGCUGUCACAAUGGAUUACAAUAGCUCCAUUAUGUCACAAUAGAUUUUUGUAUGUUUAUCUGGUACCCUGUGAAACAAAGUUACUCAUUAGUUCUAGAAGUUUCUUCUUUUUUUAGUAGAGUCCUAGAGAUUUUCUAUGUAGACCAUCAUGUUAUCUGCACAUUGGGGCCGUUUUUCUUUUCUUAUCUGUCUGCUUUUGAUUUCCUUUUUCUUGCCUUGUUGCACUGGCUGAAACUUUCAGAACUAUGCUGAGUAAGAGUGGCGCUCUCUCGGAGUUGUGGGAACACCAGGCCUGGACAUCCAGUCCGGGAGUGGAACCAGCGGCGGGGCCACUCGCUUGGAAGAGUGGAUGGAGUCUGAGAUGAUUGCAGAGACGUGGGCACCAGGCAGAGUGCUGCCUCUUCUUGCUGUAUGAUUUUGGACAAGUUGCUGUACCUCUCUGGGCCUCAACUCUGGGAUGCUCAUGUGAGGGAUGAUCUUGCAAGACUUGCGGUAUCCUGAGCCCCUUCUUUUGCCCUGCAGUUCUGGAAUUCCACUGUUGUGUUCUAUUCCUUUGGUCCCUGAAUAACUGGAGCCCCGGAUGGUGCUGCUGUGAGGGUACCAGGGAACAGGUGGGAGAGAGCCAGGCAGGGGCAGAGAGUGGACAAGCCCAGCAGCUCAGGCAAGGGUCUUGGGUCCCAGCCUCCUCCUCUUUCACACUCUCUCAACUCAGGAGUCAAUGAUUCACAAGCAGAGGCCAGCCCCAGCCCCAGCAGCUCCCGGCUCCACAUCAACAUGCAGUGGGGGGAAGUGAGUGAAUGGUCCCCGGCCUCUGGUGGCUGGUGCCCUCGACAGUGUGAAAGGUUGUUGGGCAGCCCUCGAGUUUGGCUGGGGCAGCCCCCAGGCAAGGGUGCCCGGCUUCUCUGCCCACGCCCUCCUCAGGCCCUGCACCAGCCAGCUAAGUGAGUCAGCUCUGUGUGUGUGCACCCCCACCCGCAGAUCAGGCCUGACUUAUCACAUGUCCCCACAGUCUGACACAGUGCUGGAUGCACGCAUGUGCCCCAGGGACAUCCACUGGAUGGAGUCCACGCACCCUCUCAGCCCUGGAAGGCAGGAGGCUUGGUCCCAAGAGGCGUGCCCAUGAGCCAGGCUCCUUCCUGGCCCUCAGUGACCAUAUCUGUGAAAUGGGGGUGGUGGUCGGGCUCAUGAGCUCAGGAGCCCUUUCUGCUGUUACGCUCUGCAGGUCUCUCUGCUUCAGCAGGAGAGCGGCUGGAGCCUGCAGUGCGAGCACGAGGGAGCCACGCCUGUCUCACUUAUGCCAUGUGCGCAGUGACUCGGACAGGGCUGGCACACAGCAGGUGCUCAGUUAAUGUCUGUGGAGGAGGGGAAGGAAGGGAGGAGGGGGAGAGAGAGAGACGGGAGUCGGGCUGGGGCGUGCAGCCCCAUCGGCUGGCUCUGCCCCUGGUCUGUCCCCUGCCGCCCCAGCUGGCUCCUGCCCAGCCCUCUGCUGCUGUCCUUCUGCGGCCUUUCCCCUCCUCCUGCUGGACCGUCCUGGCAGGGAUGCUGGGGAGGGUGCACUGGACGAAGCUCCCUAGGAAACAGAUCUCCCUUCUGCAGACCAGGGAGAUUCCGCUGCGAUUCUCCAGCCCCCCUGCUCUGAGGAGCCCCCGGGUAGCAGGAGGUUCUCAAAGCUGGGCACCCCAAGCCAUGAACCUCACCCCCCUGAAGCCCCGUGGAAGGCAUGCCAUCUGGGAAGAGCAUACAGCCCAGAGGCAUUUCCUUCCCCACCCUGGACAUGAACACUGUUCCCCUCGGCUGCAGGGUCUUGGCUGGCAUGCUGGUGGGGAGGACAUGGGGACAAGGUGGGCCCUAGCUUAGAACCCAAGCCUUGGGGGGCUUUAGACUCAAGAGGGAACCUUGGAGAUCUACCAGCAGGCUGCUUAACCCCAGAGGAAGCAGGGAUCCCAGAGAGGCUGCUGACUCACCCAGUGACUGAAUAUUCCCAUUUUACAGAAGAGAAAAUGAAGUCUUAGAGACGAGACAUGACCUCCCGGGGUUACACCGUAGCAGCAGAGCUCUGCCUGGAGCCCAAAUCUCUGAGCUCCUAACUCCCAGUUCUAUUCCAUGACACUCUGCUGGUCACAUUUACGUGCAUGACUUUCUACAAAGUAGUUAUGAUUUUCCCUGUUUUCCAGAUGAGAAAACUGAAGCUCAGAACAGGGACACACUUGGCAAAUAAUUAUGCCUUCAUGUGUGCUGAGAUCAGAGGCAAAGGGCCAGUGGAGGCCGGGGCCCAGCUCCUCCAGGAAGGCCCCAUGGAGGGUUUCCCUUCCCAAGGUCUUACUGCACUUGUUCUCAGGGCUUGAAAAAGAAAAGAAGGGGACGAAGGGAGCAAGGGAGCAUUCAGAAAACACCCACUCCUUGCUGAGCGCUGUGCAGGUGCUGCCGGGAUCCUCAGGGACGCCCUGUGAGGGCUCAUUCUACAGAGGAGGCAACUGAGGUGCGGGGGGGCUCAGGGCCAAACCCUGUAUGACUGCCACAUUCACUGUGCUUUUCUCCCUUAUUCAGUCCUAUAGUCUGUUAUUCUAGAAUCAUCUCCUGGGGCUGUCUUGUCUCUGUGAUUCAGCUCUAAGUCCAUGGACUAUAGAAAUCCUGUCCUUGUGUGCGCGCCCUGCAGCUGACCAGGGCUUGGCCCAGGGGGACAGUCAGCAAGGACUCAAGGCCUGGAGAAGGCAGGCAUGGAGUAGAGGCAGCAUGGGGCGCUGAGCAGGCAGGCGGUCGAUCCCCCAACUGCCACUUCCUAGCAUAGUGACCUCGGGCUCUUAGUUCAUCUCUCAGACCCUCAGCUUCCUCAUCUACAAAAUGGGGAUGGUAAUAACCCCCAGUCUCAGGCUCACAGUGUGAAGUUCGGGGGAGGUGACGAGUUAGGAGUGUCGAGCGCCUGGAACCUGGCACAUAGGGGUGCACAGGCUGAAGCAGCAUUGGCUCUCAUCAGCUCGCUCAUUUCCCGGGGCAUCUCCGGGGGUGGCCCCCUAUGCCCAGCUACAAGCAGGCCCUCCCAUCCCGGAGGAAGCCUGCCUCUCCCUGGCCCAGUGUAUGCAGGGGCCUGGAUCUAGCUGAGGGGCACACGGGGGCCUGUUUGUCUUUGUGUCGCUAGCUGUGGGUGGCAGCUGUGAAAAUGGCACUCCAAGUGUGCCCCUGGCCCGCCUCCAGACUGUUAAUCCUGAGAGCCGAGGCCAGCUUCCCUGGCGCCUCCAGAUGCCCAGAGGGAGGCAAGGAGCUCAGUGGAGAAGAAGGCGUUGGCCUCCCUGGGCUUGCCCUGAGCUGGGAGGAGCCCUGGGGAGGAGUCCUGAGAGAUGAGCUCCCGGCUGCACAGCCAAGGCGGAGCGGGCGGUUGCCGAGGGGAGCAGAGCCCAGCCAUGGAGAAGUGGCUGUCAUGUCCCAAUCACCAAAGUGUCAGCUGCCAGACCCCAGUUGUGAUGGAGGAGAAAGCUGGGGGAGGGAGACGGGGUGCAGCCCAAGUCAGCCAUCAGGAGCUGGGGUGGGGGCUUGUCCACAGGAGCUGAGCUUGCAGCGAGUUCCCCCAACCUUCAGUCUUAAGUGGCAAGGGCUCAAACCAAGCAGACCUCUCAAAGCCGAGUUUGGGCCUGUCUGAGGCAGGAGUGCUCAGAGCUGUGGGUUUUCUUCUUUGCACUGAAUUAUCCCCCGGGGAGAGGUGAGGAGGGGGCACAGAGUUUCCUCCCCCCAUGGCAAAUGCAGCGCAGGACCAUCUGUGGAUAUAUCUGCUCCCGUCCCUUUCCCCGGCCUCCCCUGCUGUGCUGUUCCCUCUGCUCCAACUACUCUUGGCCCUUUUCUGUCCCACUGAGUAAACCAAGGGCGUUCUCUCCUCCGGGCUUCUGCUAGGAAUGCUCUGAACCUGAUUUUUACGCAGGGGACUUUCUUAUCAUGACCACCCAGCUCCUGCCGGCCUCCUUCCCCAGGCCCUCUUUUAUGAUCUCCCAAGCACGGAUCUCCA